CCCUCCCUAUGAAAAUGCAAAGCUCUUUCUGUUUUCUUUCCAACAAAGACAAAAAGUCUACACCCACAGGUAGACUGGGUCCCUGAAGUGAGCACAAAAUCUGGGAGACCCUAUUCUCAUUCUAGCUUGACCAACACCUCCAUGAACCCCUGAAAAAUGUUCGGCUCAUACAACAUGUAUGUGUGUGAAAAUAUAUGCUUACAUACUGAUCACAUGAGGGAAAGCAAUAACUCCAACUCCAGGUUCUUCCAGCAGCAACCGAUCCUCUUUCACUAUCAGCCUCCCUACCUAUUCUGAGGCGCUCCGAAACAAAACAAACAAAAACCAACUCUUGGGCAGAAAAGGAACAGCAGCUGAAUGGAGCAGCACAUGCUUGAGCCUUCCUGACAUCGACUUCUGGUUAUUUCUGCUUUCUUGAGAUCAGCCACCAGCCUUGGACCACACACAGCCCUGGAGAGGAACCGCGGGUACAGAGACCCUCGCAGACCCUCCUUGGUGACCCACACGCCAGCGUGUGCUGCUGAACCUGGCUUUGAAAUGGACUGACACUCAGGUAAGGCUCAGCCCACACGUGACCCUGCACACUGCGAAAUUCCUUCCUUCCCUAAUCGCGCGGCCAUCCAAAAUCUUGCCUACAUCGAGUACGUGCGGAUGUCAAUUCUCUAAGACUACAUGAUGUUAGAACAGAAAUGGGAAUGCCCGGAGCCGAUUUCCUCGUGACCACGUCUCUCGCUGACACGGUGCGCCCGUGCACACGGCUGGAUGCAGGCCUACUGCCCUCCCAGAAGCCGUCUGGACUCUGCCCGGGCCUCUACCUUUUCCCUCACCCAAGGAGGUGGGAAGAUAACCUGGCCUGCCCAGUCCCCCACAUCUGCGUGCUGGAUUCUGUCUUUCAGGGGCUGUUAGCUUAAGGCUCUCGGUGCUGGGGAGAGCAAAUAGGGGAUCUUGCUAUUAGAAACUGACUAAAUCUACAAACCCAACUUCCACCGUGAAUUACUAAGGAACCUCUCAAAGUUGGGGCCUGUCACCAAAGGCAAACAGCAGCACUUCAAUAAGAAAUAUGUUUGAAGAACUGUACUAUCGUCUAUUGGGGUCAAAGGUUAGGCAGUAAGAAGAGUAGGAGCCAGGCAUGACUAAGAUCCCAAGGGACAUUCUCCCAUGCCCGCCACGUGCAUCUGCUUAUCCUUUUUCGCUCUUUUCCCGUCCUCGCACUUCUUCUUAUCCAGUUCUUCCCUAUUUCACUCUUGCUCCUUGCCUACAGAGUAUCGUGCCACAAGAGUGCACAAUAACAGUCCUCAGUCUCAGCUUUUGUCCACAGAACUAAAGAAGUGGUGAUGCUAAAGAAGUGUUGUACUGUUGCAAGUGCCACAGGGAGCUUUCUGUUUCUUUUGAAUUUUCCAUGUGCAUGCGUGCUAAGUCGCUUCAGUCUUGUCCGACUCUGUGCGACCCUAUGGACUGUAGCCCGCCAGGCUCCUCUGUCCAUGGGAUUGUCCAGUAAAGAGUACUGGAGUAGGUUGCUGUGCAUCCUCCCGAGGAUCUUCCUGACCCAGGGAUCAAACUCCCAUCUCUUAGGUCUGCAUUGGCAGGCAGGUUCUUUACCACUAGCAUCACUUAGGAAGCCCCUGAAUUUUCCAUAAUGAUGUUCAUUCAAAGCUAAGUUAUCCUCAGCUGGACUAGAUCCUAGAGAAAAAAAAAUCAAAAGUUUAAUGGGAGUUGAGGUCAAACCAAAGGAAUGACACAAAGAAGGAGGUGGAAAUGCCAAAGACAAAUUCAGUCUGGCUUUAGCAUGGUCAUUCCUCCCUUACUGGACACCAUGUUAAAUAAGAGAUCUUGACCUUGGGAACCACAAUAGAAAACAAAACCACCAUUCCCUAAGAAUGAUUAAACCUUAGCCUGUAAAUGGCUUAGUUCUGUUUGCUUGAGGACCCUUGAUUGGAUAACCAUGUCCUCCAGCUACCGUGUUUUUUAGAGGACUAGGUGAUGGCUGUGAACUCUUCAUUCCACUCCAACUCCCAUUGUCAACUGGUUAUUACCUAUCAGUCAAAAGCUGUCCAUUCCCUAACAAUUCCACUGCAGAAAGCUCUGCUAGAUAUUCUAAAUUACUAACCUUUAGGUCCCAAGUCUUUAUAUUUCCUUAAAGCCCUUAAAAUUUUAUUAAAGAACCUGAAGAACAAGUUGUUUAAUAACUCAUCAUUAAAGACUUACCAAUUUUGUGCCUAUCAAACUCUUUCCAACCAUCAGACCUGCCAAUAGAUCAGGCUUGUGUGGCCCAGGUUCAGAAUUUGGUGGGUGGUGUGGGGGAAAUAUAUAGUAUCUAAAGCAAAUGUGUAGAUUAUAACUGAAAAUCUCUAAAUUACCUCUAUUCAGCCUUUGGGGCUUCCCAGGUAGUGCAGUGGUAAAGACAGUCUUUAGUACCUAAAAUGAUAAACCAGGAGCACAAGCUAGGGUGGUAGAAAGAACUAAAAAGUCUGGGAAACUAGGCUCAAGUUCCAAGUCUGUUGCUAAAUUUUUCUUUUUUUGGCCCAACUAGGAAUCAAACUCAAACCCUCAGCAGUGAAUAUAUAAAGCCCUAAUCACUGGACCACCAGGGAAUUCCCUCAAAAUUUAUUUUUUAAAAUUGUAUGUGACAAGAAGUUGUUCAUGGAAUACAGGGCAAGGUGGUAAAAGGAAUUAAAACUGAAGCUGGAAUGCUCAGGAAAGAAUCAGGAAACAAUAAAAUUGCAGAUAUAAAGACUACAUUGGAAAUGGAACAAGGAAAUUGACUUCAAAAAACUUUUUAAAGGAUAUAGAAAACAAGAAUAGUGAAAAAAUAAAAUGGAAAUGGGCAAAGAUGAGCUAGAAAGUUACAUGAAACAUGAAGUUCAAUGUAUUCAUAAAUGGUAUGCCUUCUGAAGAGACUGCAAUAAUGGACCAAAAAAUAUUUCAAGAUAUUAUUCAAGAAAACUUUCCAGAAAUGAAGACCUUAAUCUACAGAUUGAAGGGGAUAAACAUGUAUUUAAAAAAUAUACAGAUGAUCAAUAGGAAGACAUGUCCUAGUAGAACUACUUAUCUCCAAAGAAAUAAUCUUUUGAUUUUCUCAGAAAAACAAAAAAAAAAAGUCAAGUUAUAUGUAAUGGGAAUAUAUAUCAGCCUUUCAUAGGCUUCUAUAGCCACAUCCAAUGAUAGAGGCUAUGUUUAUAAAGUCCCUAAGGCAAUUAAUUGUGAUACAAGAAUUUCAUGAUAAUAACUAACACUUACUGAGAUCACAUUAUGCAUCAGGCUUUGCUCUAAGUGCCUUACCAUGUUUAUAAUCCUCACAUCAAUUAUAUGAAAUAGGUAAUAUCUCUAUUCUUACUUUGUAGAGGAGACCAAAAUUUGGAAUGGUUUAGAAGCACACAUGAAGUAUGAAUGAAUAAAACCCAAGCAGCCUGGCUCCAGAGCCCUGGUCUUAAGUGUUGCACUGUAAUCCUGCUAUCAAAGUGUUGCUCAAAUAAAAGGCAUCAGACAAACAGUGAGAAAUUGUUACUGAAGAAGGAGAGAGUGGAUUUUGAGCAGGCGAAGGUGAUAGAUGCCCCCUACAAUGUAAAUUUCUUUUUAAUGAAGAAAAACAGGAGAAUGAUAGUUGUUCAAAAGUAAAAUAUGGUAAUCAAAUGACUGCCAGCUCCAGAAAUGUAUCUUUGUUUACAUUUGCUUGUUUUAGUUCCAUUUUUUUCGAAACCUCAAGGAACUUUUAAGUGAACUCACUCCCUUGGGUCUUUACCUGGUGGACAUCACCUUUAUCUUCCUACCUUAGAUCUGAAACAAGUCUUUGGGUUGUUUCCCAACGUUCUCCCAAACCUGGAUCUUGCUCUUUUAAAGCUGACAUUGAAACACAGUCUUGUCAGUUCAUAUUAGAAUUAAGAGUCUAGUCUUAGUUCAGUGAAGUGCAUUUGACAGUAUGCACAGGUGCAUUUAUAAAAUUGAGGACACUAAAAAAAUAAGAAAUAGAAAAGUUCCUACUGGUCCAGUGGUUAGGACUCAAUGCCUUCACUGCCAAGACCCCAGGUUCAAUCCCUGGUCAGGGUGCGAUGAUCCCGAAAGCCAUGCAGCACAGGCAGAGAAAUAAAUAAAAAUAAAAUCGAGGACACUGAAAACAGUAAACACUGAGAACAGUCCCCUCUUACAUGGGGAACCAAGUCUAAACAAAAAUGGCACCUCCUCUGAUUUUCUACCCAGAUCAGGAUCUACAACAGACGUUGAAAUAGAAUUUCAUCAAUUUAUAUUUAAACUUAAUGGUAUACUCCAAACAACUGAAGGAAGUACACUGGAUGAUGCAUUUACAAAAUUUGAAGGCAUUUAGUCAAUAAAUACACUGUUUCACAUAAGCAAAGCCAAGCCUACACAACCACCACAAUGGCCUCAAAAAAAAUUGCCCAUGAAGGUUGAUUUUUCUCCAAAACCCCAAAUCUUUUAAAAAAAUCUUUUCCUGUAAAGAUGAGUAAUUAUCCAAAGAUGGGAGCCUAAAUGUAAGAUGUUCUUUCUUCCUUUUUAGCGACCUGAACCACAAAUACUUAAAUUGAACCACAAACAUGUGUAGAAUAUAAUAGUCAAAUAAGGAGAAAAAACAAUCUUAAGAAACAUCUUCCAAAUAGGCACAUGAAAAAUUGCUCAUCACUGCUAAUUACUAGAGAAAUACAAAUCAAAACUAUAAUGAGAUACCACCUCACACUGAUCAGAAUGGUCAUCAUUAAAAACUAUAAAUAAAUGAUGGAGAGGGUAUGGAGAAAUGGGAACUCUCCUACACUGUUGGUGGAUAUGUAAAUUGGUAUAGCCACUAUGGAGAAUAGUAUGGAGGCUACUUAAAAAAUUAAAAAAUAGAGUUGCCAAAUGAUUUAGCAGUUCCACUCCUGGGCAUAUCUCCAGAGAAAAACAUGGUCCAAAAAGAUACAUGCACCCCAGUGUUCACUGUGGCACUAUUUACAAUAACCAAGACAUGGAAGCAUCUGAAAUGUCCAUUGACAGAUGGAUGGAUAAAGAGGGUUUGGUACAUAUAUAUAAUAGAAUAUUACUCAGCCAUUAAAAAGAAUGAAAUAAUGCCACUUGCAGCAACACAGAUGGACCUAGAAAUUAUCAUACUAAGUAAGUCAGAAGGAAAAAGACAAAUACUAUAUGAUGUCACUUAUAUGUGAAAUCUAAAAUGCAACACAAAUGAAUAAAUUCUGAAAAACAGAAACACAGACAUAGAGCAAUGGUCCCCAACCUUUUUGGCACCAGGAAUCAGUUGCAUGGAAGAUAUUUUUGCCAUGGACCUGGGUGGAGGGGAUGGUUUCUGGAUCAUUCAAGCACAUUACAUUUAUUGCCCACUUUAUUUCUAUUAUUAUUUUAUCAGCUCCACUUCAGAUCAUCAGGCGUUAGAUCCUGGAGGUUGGGGACCCC